rnacentral:rRNA from 1 species
AUUGAACGCUGGCGGCAGGCCUAACACAUGCAAGUCGAGCGGAUGAAGGGAGCUUGCUCCUGGAUUCAGCGGCGAACGGGUGAGUAAUGCCUAGGAAUCUGCCUGGUAGUGGGGGAUAACGUCCGGAAACGGGCGCUAAUACCGCAUACGUCCUGAGGGAGAAAGUGGGGGAUCUUCGGACCUCACGCUAUCAGAUGAGCCUAGGUCGGAUUAGCUAGUUGGUGGGGUAAAGGCCUACCAAGGCGACGAUCCGUAACUGGUCUGAGAGGAUGAUCAGUCACACUGGAACUGAGACACGGUCCAGACUCCUAAGGGAGGCAGCAGUGGGGAAUAUUGGACAAUGGGCGAAAGCCUGAUCCAGCCAUGCCGCGUGUGUGAAGAAGGUCUUCGGAUUGUAAAGCACUUUAAGUUGGGAGGAAGGGCAGUAAGUUAAUACCUUGCUGUUUUGACGUUACCAACAGAAUAAGCACCGGCUAACUUCGUG